rnacentral:lncRNA from 1 species
UUCUGUCUCUAUGGAUUUGUCUAUUCUUAACAUUUCAUGUAAAUGGAAUCAUAUAGUAUGUGACCAUUCAUGUCUGACUGGGCCUUUUAUCUUACAGUGGAAGAGACUUAGGGCCAGAGAAGGAAGGUGAGAUGCCCAUGAUUAUACUGCUGGUGAGCGCCCUAGUCUGGACUUGAACCCAGAAACAGUACUCUUUAUAACAUACCUUUCUGCCUCUCAGCAUUCAGAUCUUCAGUUUUAUGAUGAUGAUGAUGAUAAGACCACCACCCCAGCUACUUCUUUUCAGUUGGCUUUAGAGUUGGCAUCCUUUAGAAGAGUUCGUGAAACCUUUCUGCCCAGAGCUCCUGGACCAAUGCAUCUUCCCACCACCUUAAACCACUGAGUGGUACCUAAAUAAAAUUAAAAAGAAUGAAACUUCCUGGCAAUCAUAGGGGGAGGAUUUUUCCUUCUGCUUCCUUCUUCAGUAAGUGAUUUCAGGAAUUAAAAAAAGUAUGGGACCUUCCCAUGCCCCUGGAGACUUAGAGUGGUAGGACAUUUAAAAACUGGUGGUAUCCUUCUUAAGUUAAAAAAACAAAAACACAAAAACAAAAAACUGC